AAGAUAUUCAAAUUGAUAGAUAAUGGGCCUGGUAGGAAAAAGAACUAAAUGGGGUUUUGGAGAGAAAAUAAAGCAAAAGCCGUUAUGAUGAUAAACCAAGCUCAAUCAGCAGAAAUGGUCACCAUCAUUCAACACGAUGAUGUAUUCCGUCGCCGUCCCCCACGGCGUUACGAUGCAUAAGGGAAACAAGACCUCCGAAUCAAAGAUAGAAUAUGAAGAACUGGUAUCGAUCGGUUCGUUCUUGAAAUCAAUGAGGUUGGCAGAUGAAAAGGAAGAAGAAGAAUACGGGAGCAGGAGCUAUACUCCCCUAUCGCUCUUCUACACCAAAGGUAAAUCUCGCAAAAAUUAUCUUCCACUAUCUUUCUUCACCACCAUUGUCCCCAUGGAUAUGGAUAAUUCUCCAGUAUUGUUCGGAUCUUACGAGGAAGCAUUGAUGUCCGAUGGAAGCAAGUCCUCCGUAUCUGAAUCAAAGAUGGGUCCGAUGGAGAAGGGAAACAAAUCUGAAUCAAAGAUGUUUCUGACGGAGAAUGGAAACAAGUCCGAAUCAAAGAUGGAUCCGAUGGAGAAUGGAAACAAGUCCGAAUCAAAGAUGGGUCCGAUGGAGAAGGGAAACAAGUCCUCCCAAUCAAAGAUGUUUCUGAUGGAGAAGGGUAACAAGUCCGAAUCAAAGAUGAGUCCGAUGGAGAAGGGAAACAAGUCCGAAUCAAAGAUGAGUCCGAUGGAAAAGGGAAACAAGUCCUCCCAAUCAAAGAUGUUUCUGAUGGAGAAGGGUAACAAGUCCGAAUCAAAGAUGAGUCCGAUGGAGAAGGGAAACAAGUCCGAAUCAAAGAUGAGUCUGAUGGAUAAAGGAAAGUCCUCCCAAUCAAAGGUUAGCAGAAACAACUCUGAUCCGAUGGAUCAGGGAGAGUCCUCCCAAUCAAAGUUUAUCAGAAACUCUAUUCCCGACAAACUUGCUUUAUCUAUUCUUUCAAAAUUGCCCAUAAAAUCAUUGAAGCGCUUUGGAUGCAUACGCAAAUCAUGGUCCAUUUUAUUUGAAAACUCUGAUUUCAUGACCAUGUACACCAAUAGUUUCAUAUCUCAUCACGUUUCUGAUGACGAUUAUCAUACAUUUAUUCUCUCAAAUCAUCAUGCCACUGCUUACCAUCUCACAUCUGAUUAUCUUUACAACUCUGAAUUCCAUUUACUCAACAACACAGUCAAAUUCAAUUUGCCGCCUCCAUUUCAACAGUCUGGCUGUCAUAGGAGGAUUCUCAACUCCGCGAGUGUUAAAGGCAUUUUUUGUCUUCACCAAGAAUAUCCCAUUAAUCUCCAAUAUGUAUUGUGGAAUCCUGCUACCCAGGAAUUCCUGGUCAUUCCUCGUAGCCCCGCUGAUCUUUUACAAGACUCUCAAAACAACCUCCAUCUCAGCCACGCUUUUAAUGGGUUUGGUUAUGACCAACUUAGAGAUGACUUUAAGGUUAUUCAGUAUAUAACAUUUGAUUGUGAAUGCGAGAGCUAUCGUCCUCCGAUAAUAGAAAGUUAUUUCGAGAUAUAUAGUUUAAAAAGUAAUUCAUGGAGAACCAUCGACAUGAACAAAGGUCCGUCGUCUUCUAUUUGGUCUCGUUGUCGAUUGUUUGAUACUCGCGGAGUUUAUUUGGAUGGAGCAUGUCAUUGGGUGAUUUCCGACGGAGAGGACCUUGCUGAAAAAUCUCUCUUGUCAUUUGACCUCAGUGAUGAGGUGUUCCUUACAACACCCAUUGGGGUUCAACCUCCUUUGCCAUACAGUUAUGAUGAACGCUUGGCGGUGUUAAAUGGAUCAAUUGCUUUAAUAUCAAAUUAUCACGAUGAUAUUAUUUUUCACAUAUAUAUUCUGGGUGAACUUGGUGUGGGUGAAUCCUGGAUCAAACUAUAUAUUUAUGGUCCCUUUUCUUCCAUUACAUGGCCCCCUGUUGGAUUUGGGAAGUCGGGAUAUAUUUUCUUUCCAAAUAAUGAUUAUGAACUGGCCUAUGUUGAUUUGAGCACCCAAAAAAUUGAAGAGGUUGGUAUUACUGGUGCAGAGGCUAGUUAUUUUCAAGUCGGUCUUUACAAGGAAAGCCUUCUCUCGAUUGGAGGAUCAAUGCAAGAUCUUCUAUAGUGGUAUUGAGGAAGAGGUGUGUAACAGAAUUCAAGAGAUUACGGCUUUUGGAAGAGGCUCACUCCCUGUCAGGUACUGAAAAAAGCCGAAAGAGUCCCAUAGCCUGGUCUCGUGUGUGCAGUCCCAUUAAAUAUGGUGGCAUGAACCUGAUAAACAUGGAGGUUUGGUGUAAUAUUGCCAUGUUGAGAUGUCUUUGGAAUCUGAGUA